AGAGUUGAUCCUGGCUUAGGAUGAACGCUAGCUACAGGCUAACACAUGCAAGUCGAGGGGCAGCAGAUCGAAAGCUUGCUUUGAUGCUGGCGACCGGCGCACGGGUGAGUAACGCGUAUCCAACCUUCCCUGUAGUAGAGAAUAGCCCGGCGAAAGUCGGAUUAAUGCUCUAUGUUGUAUUUAGAGGACAUCUGAAGAAUACCAAAGGUUUACCGCUAUAGGAUGGGGAUGCGUCUGAUUAGGUUGUUGGCGGGGUAACGGCCCACCAAGCCCACGAUCAGUAGGGGUUCUGAGAGGAAGGUCCCCCACAUUGGAACUGAGACACGGUCCAAACUCCUACGGGAGGCAGCAGUGAGGAAUAUUGGUCAAUGGACGAAAGUCUGAACCAGCCAAGUAAGCGUGCAGGAUGACGGCCCUAUGGGUUGUAAACUGCUUUUAUACAGGGAUAAAGUGAGGGACGUGUCCCUUUUUGUAGGUACUGUAUGAAUAAGGACCGGCUAAUUCCGUGCCAGCCGCCGC
rnacentral:rRNA from 1 species